GCCCAGAUGGCGGAAUUGGUAGACGCGCUAGCUUCAGGUGCUAGUUCCCGUAUGGGAGUGGAAGUUCGAGUCUUCUUCUGGGCACCA
rnacentral:tRNA from 1 species